GACGAACGCUGGCGGCGUGCCUAAUACAUGCAAGUCGAACGCAGUGGGGACGGGUGAGUAACACGUGGGUAACCUCCCAUCAGAGGGGAUAACACUUGGAAACAGGUGCUAAACCGAUACUGAUGGAUGGACCCGCGGUGCAUUAGCUAGUUGGUGAGGUAACGGUGCACCAAGGCCACGAUGCAUAGCCGACCGGAGAGGGUGCUCGGCCACACUGGGCCUGAGACACUGCCCAGAUUCCUACGCGCAGCAGAAGUGGGGAAUAUUCGGCAAUGUUCGAAAGUCUGACCGAGCAAGUCAGAGUGUUUGAAGAAGGUUUUCGGAUCGUAAUGCUCUGUUGUGAGGUAAGCGGUAGCUAACCAGAAAGCCACGGCUAACUACGUGCCAGCUGCCGCGGUGAUUC
rnacentral:rRNA from 1 species